rnacentral:rRNA from 1 species
UACAGAGGUCUCAAGCGUUGUUCGGAUUCAUUGGGCGUAAAGGGUGCGUAGGCGGCGCGGUAAGUCGGGUGUGAAAUUUCGAGGCUUAACUUCGAAACUGCAUUCGAUACUGCCGUGCUUGAGGACUGGAGAGGAGACUGGAAUUUACGGUGUAGCGGUGAAAUGCGUAGAUAUCGUAAGGAAGACCAGUGGCGAAGGCGGGUCUGCUGGACAGUUCCUGACGCUGAGGCACGAAGGUCAGGGGGAGCAAACGGG